rnacentral:rRNA from 1 species
GACGAACGCUGGCGGCGUGCUUAACACAUGCAAGUCGAACGGUAAGGCCCUUCGGGGUACACGAGUGGCGAACGGGUGAGGAACACGUGGGUGAUCUGCCCUGCACUUCGGGCUAAGCCUGGGAAACUGGGUCUAAUACCGGAUAGGACCACUGCCUGCAUGGGUGGUGGUGGAAAGCUUUUGCGGGGUGGGAUGGGCCGGCGGCCUAUGAGCUUGUUGGUGCGGUGAAGGCCUACCAAGGCGACGACGGGUAGCCGGCCUGAGAGGGUGACCGGCCACACUGGGACUGAGAUACGGCCCAGACGCCUACGGGAGGCAGCAGUGGGGAAUAUUGCACAAUGGGCGCAAGCCUGAUGCAGCGACGCCGCGUGAGGGAUGACGGCCUUCGGGUUGUAAACCUCUUUCAGCACCGACGAAGCGCAAGUGACGGUAGGUGCAGAAGAAGGACCGGCCAACUACGUGCCAGCAGCCGCCGCAG